rnacentral:lncRNA from 1 species
GGGAGCCGGGACAAGAUUCCUCUGGCUGUCCAGGCUCGUCCACCCCGGCAGCAUGUUGGUGAACUGAAGUCUGACUCAACUCUUGGCCUGGCAAGGGCCUGGCUGUCUGGCGCAGGGCAAAGGUGGUGCCCUCUGGAGAAAGGAGGAGGCCAGUGGGGAGGGAAGAGGACCAGGAGGAAAGUGGCCACAGGCUGGCUGGACACUGAGCUCAGAAGAGGGGAGAUGGUGUUACUGUUGCCAUUUUACAGGAGCCAAGGUCCUCAUGACAGGGUUGGAAAGGCCUGGGAGGGGAGCCAGGAGCCUGAGACCAGCUCAGCAGGUCCUGGCCGUGUGACCCAGAGGAAGUCACCCCAUCUCGCCUGCUAACCAGAUGACUAACAGCAGCAGCAAUCAUAUUGCCUAAUUUGCUACCUCACAGGAGUGUGGGAGAAGAUCAAACAGAGAAAUGAAUGAGAAGCAUUCUUUCCACAAAUAUUUGUUGAACACCUACUGUGCUCGAGGCUUGUGGAGGACCAAGCGGGGAACAAGCUGGCAUAAUCCUUCUCCCUAGGAAUGUACAGUCAACAGGGAAGCCAGAAAUGAAGGGAUUGCUACAAAGUGUGCAAGUGCCUCCCUCUGCUGAGGAUUGGGGCACAUGAUGGCAGAGGCAUCUCUGCAAAUCCUGACAAUCUCACAGGUCAUCCCUGCUUUGCCUCCUUUGAGUCUUCAUUUAUGAAAUGGACUGGGUUUUUGUUGUUGUUGUUGUUUUAGAUGGUGUCUCGCUCUGUUGCCCAGGCUGGAGUGCAGUGGCGUGAUCUCGGCUCACUGCAACCUCCGCCUCCCGGGUUCAAGCAAUUCUCCUGCUUCAGCCUCCCGAGUAGUUGGGAUUACAGGUGUAUGCCACCACACCUGGCUAAUUUUUGUAUUUUUAGUAGAGACGGGGUUUCACCAUGUUUGCCAGGCUGGUCUCGAACUCCUGACCUCAGGUGAUCCGCCCACCUUGGCCUCUCAAAGUGCUGGGAUUAUAAGGCGUGAGCCACUGAGCCCAGCCUGGACUGUUUUUUGUUUUUGAGACAGGGUCUCACUCUGUUGCCUGGGCUGGAGUGCAGUGCUGUGAUCAUGGCUCACGGUAGCCUCGAACUCCUGGGCUCAGGUGAUCCUCCCACCUCAGCCUCCUGAGUAGCUGGCACUACAGGAGCACACCACCACCACCAUGCCCCGCUAAUUUUUAAUUUUUUACAGACAGGGUCUCACUAUGUUGCCCAGCCUGGUCUUGAACUCCUGGGCUCAAGCAAUCCUGCCUCAGCCUCUCAAAGUGCUGGGAUUACAGGGGUGAGCCACUGCACCUGGCCUUGAAAUGGACUUUGAAGUGAGCAUCAAGAUAUACCUUCCUCACGACGCUGGUGUAAGGAUUGAGCUCAUGCAUGUGAAAGGGCUUAGCACCGAGCCAGACACCUCUAAGACAUCGCUGGAUGGCGGUGAUUGUUCAUGCGCGACCUUGCCACUGGGCACCUGGGGAUGCAGGCAUGACAUUGUCCUUCAAAGAGACAGGGAUGAGGAGCAUGUGUCUGGCACCUGGAGAUCACAUUCCCUUCCUCCCUCAGGGCCUAUAUUUGCCCACACAUACACGAUUGCGUGGGGACGUUAAAAGGUUCGAAAGCAGAUAUUCCAAACUGGUAACAGGGUGAGAAAUGAGGGUAAUUAUGAGCCCAGUCAUCUACUUUUAUGUUUUAUCUUUUAUAUAUUGUUUGAACAAUAGAUCACUUUUUGUUUUUCUUUAUUACGGUAAAAUACGCGUGACAUUAAAUGUUCCAUUUGAACCAUUUUUAAGUGUAUGGUUCGGUGGCAUUAAGUACGUUCCCAAUGUUGCAACCGCUACCACCACCUUCCCCAGUGAAACUCUGUCCCCAUUAAACACUAACUCUCCCUUUCCCCUUCCCCAGCCCCUGGCAACAUUUAUUCUACUUUCUGUCUCUACAAAUUUGACUCGUAUAAGUGCAAUCACACAGUAUUUGUCCUUUUGUGUCUGGCUUAUUUCACUUAACAUAAUAUCCUCAAGUUCACUCACAUGGGAGCAUAUAUCAG